CUCAAAUAUCUUCCUUUAAACCAUAUGUUCUAAAUUUCUCUUUCAACUUUCGAAUCUCGCAGGUUCUAAAUUUGUCUUCCAGCUUUCCAAUCUUCCAGGUCAGUUUUUGUUUUCCUGUUUUCUCACUACUUUCUUAAGUUAUUUACAUAUAUGCAAUGAAAAUAAAAAAUAAAAAAUUUACAUCACUAUUUGCAUUAAAAGAAAUAAAUUUUGCUUCUGAAACUUGGCUAAAUCGUCAUUCCUUUGCUGCUGUUCUUGCCUCCAUUCAUUUCUAAAUCUUCAUUUAUUUUUGCUGUCUUUAAAUUUCAUUCUCUGUUUAUGUAUACAGUAUCUGGA